GGGAACUCUCCGUGUUUUGGGAAAAAGCCAAAGUUGUGCUUUCUCACAUUCUAUCAUCUUUCUCUUGACCGUUUUUUUCAGUUUUUCGGUUGUAUUUUGAAGCCGGUUUUCACAGUUCAGGCAGAAAGUUAGAAAAUGGAAUAAACCGUCAUUUUCCAAUUGAUUGAAAUCAUAGUGGUGACGAGGGAAAACUUUGCAGAAUUCAAUUACUUCAUUCAUGUUUUUCCUGGUGUCAGGUGGCUUCGAUGACAAGUACUAGAUUGUAGAAGUAAAAUUCAACUGGCAGAAGAAGUUGUUGAACAGUUGUGCGUCGUUUGAUGAUGUAUUUGUAUAUAUGUUUCCUUGAUAAAAAUAAUAAAAGACAUCUCAUUCAUAUAUACCUUUUAUCGCCCCGUAAAAUUUCUUUACGAUCUUAGAAAUGUAAAUUCCAUAAGAUAAUUCCAUUUCUCUACCUAAGCAAACAUACAAGGCAGUGUAAACGCUCGUGUAUUUUACACACAAUUGUACAGAUCUACAUAAAGAACUAAACUCGAAAAGGGAACUUAAGCUAUUAUUGCAAACACAAGCUUGAAAUUGAUUUUGCAAACAUAAUUCAUUCAUAUCAUUGAUGUAUUCGAGAUUGCCUACGGAAUAGGUGCUGUUUUGGCUCUUUUAAUAAUCCAAAUACUUUAUUGAUGAAAACAACGUACUCCCGUCGCCCGGAAGUGUUGCAAUAUAUAAAUUGCGUUAGGCAAUUUGUGAUGUAUACAUAAAAAGGCAAUGUAAAUAACAUCUUCAUAAGCGUACUGUAAUUUGAUUUUGAAGUUAAGAAAUUGGAAAUCUUCUAUGUAUCUUAUUAUUAAAGUUAAAAAACAAAGUGUCCUAAACAUUGGUAAUUUUGUGCGUCGUAUUGAUGAUGGGAAAACAUGGACAAGGGCUACCUAAUGGUGCUCCUUCUAUGACCUGCGUUUUAAUAAGCUUUGGUCACCACAAGAAUUGUGACCUUAAUUGACAGAAGAUAGACACUUCCCCAUACGAAAUAAGAGUUGAAGUUGUCGACAGCGCCGUUCGUCUAUUCAUUGAAGGAACUAUACAAGGAUUUCUUAUUCAAACCAGACAAAACAAUUCAAGUCCGGCUUUGGGAGAAUUUAAGCUACCUGAAGGAUUCAAUUCAAUCGCUCGAUACCAAAACUGCACACACGAAAACGCUUUUAUCAGAAGUGAAUUUUCGUCGUAUAUUACAAAUUCCGAAAUUAGAAUUAAACUUAUUAUAUUGAGUAGAAUUUACUAGGCCAAAGUAUUUGUAAAAUCUUUAUUCGUCAAGCAUUACGUACGUUUAUUACGUUAAUUAAAUUACACAUUCCUAUAUGCAA